GCGACCUCAGCUCAGGCGGGGCCACCCGCU
rnacentral:rRNA from 1 species